rnacentral:rRNA from 1 species
UACGUAGGGGGCUAGCGUUGUCCGGAAUUAUUGGGCGUAAAGCGCACGUAGGCGGCUUAGCAAGUCGGAUGUGAAAUCCCUCGGCUCAACCAAGGAAGUGCAUCCGAAACUGCAGAGCUUGAGUACUUAAGAGGAUCGCGGAAUUCCCGGUGUAGAGGUGAAAUUCGUAGAUAUCGGGAGGAACACCAGUGGCGAAGGCGGCGAUCUGGGAAGAUACUGACGCUGAGGUGCGAAAGCGUGGGGAGCAAACAGG